rnacentral:lncRNA from 1 species
AAGCAAGUCAUCAGAAACACAGAUGCUGUUAUUAUUAGUAUUACCAUUAUGCAAAUUUCUUUAGAACUAAAGAACAAGGGAAGAGAAAUAUAGAACAUAAAUGACAUGCAAGAAGAAUUGCCUCUAAGAAGGAUGCUUUUGAAGGUUUUCUAUGCAGCUCUUUAAAAUCAAUGGAGUAAUUAAAAGUGGAAAAAAAUAUGGUAGUGCAAGGAAAUAAAAAGACUAGGUCUGGAAAAUAUUAGAUAUCCCUGAAUACGGUUGGAACUAAUAACAAGCCUCAAAAAUGAAAAACAACAAGAGAAAAAAUUGCCUCAACAUAUUUCUUUGGUGCUUAAAAAAAUCUCCACUUGUAGUAUCUGAAGAGGAAGGAAGGAAGAUGCUUAAUUCCUGUGUUUUCCUGUUAUUCUACUGCCCCUGUACUUUUUGCCACUGAGAUGGCCAUGUAGGGCACAAGUGGAACUCAACAAAAAUGUGACUGGCAAGGUGGUGUGGUUCCAGAGUUCAUCUCUAUUGAAAGAAAAAGAAAAAGCAAGAAAUCAAAUCAUUCUUAUCAGAUGAGUCAAAGGGAAAUAGUACUUUCAUGGCAUAUCCUGCUGGUGACCAAAAAUUUGAAAGCCACUCUAAAGAGGAAAACUAUGUCUAGGAAGGAUAUAUGCCCAGCAGUCCACUGGUUGGCAGGACCAUAUCACCAUCCCACCUUUAAAUGGCACGAGGAUAAGGGAAGCAAUCAUCUAUGUGGCCCUCCUCUACAGAGCAAGGGUGUCCAGCUUUUCUAAGAUGCCCAUGGCUAAGGCCUUAUUUCUACCUGGAAUCAUGCCUGCUGCCUCAAAGUUAUUCUCAUCUCAAGUCCUUUCUCUUCCAAGGUAGAGUUUUCUGUGCAGGAGCUGGACAAACAGGAAAGAAAGCACAGCCACAUAUCUCCCUAGAUCUCGGACUCCCACCAACUUCAGAUCAAACUCCUGACGUGAAAGAGACGCACAACAGAACAGAAGGGAUGGGAACCACACUGACUAAAUACAGAUCACACCACGUAUUCAAUUGCAGUCGAUGAGGCAAAGGGGAUGAAAAGCUGAAGCACCACUGGAAACCACACACACUCAGGAUUUCAAAGUUGGGCUUGAUUUUCUCACCAUUUACAAUGGAGAAAAUAGACACCCUUUUGAGUGGCUUCUAGUUUUGCAUUUGGCCUGGGAUGGUUGCUGAAGGAAGAGAAUGAUAAAGAUAAAUUGUAUUCUUUUGUGGUUUAAAAGGGCUUUGUGAUCAAUAAAUAACCAUGUGAGGAGAGAACA